rnacentral:rRNA from 1 species
GACGAACGCUGGUGGCGUGCUUAACACAUGCAAGUCGAACGGAAAGGCCCUGCUUUUGUGGGGUGCUCGAGUGGCGAACGGGUGAGUAACACGUGGGUAACCUGCCCUUGACUUUGGGAUAACUUCAGGAAACUGGGGCUAAUACCGGAUAGGAGCUCCUGCUGCAUGGUGGGGGUUGGAAAGUUUCGGCGGUUGGGGAUGGACUCGCGGCUUAUCAGCUUGUUGGUGGGGUAGUGGCUUACCAAGGCUUUGACGGGUAGCCGGCCUGAGAGGGUGACCGGCCACAUUGGGACUGAGAUACGGCCCAGACUCCUACGGGAGGCAGCAGUGGGGAAUAUUGCACAAUGGGCGGAAGCCUGAUGCAGCAACGCCGCGUGCGGGAUGACGGCCUUCGGGUUGUAAACCGCUUUCGCCUGUGACGAAGCGUGAGUGACGGUAAUGGGUAAAGAAGCACCGGCUAACUACGUG